UACGUAGGGUGCGAGCGUUGUCCGGAAUUACUGGGCGUAAAGAGCUCGUAGGUGGUUUGUCGCGUUGUUCGUGAAAACUCACAGCUUAACUGUGGGCGUGCGGGCGAUACGGGCAGACUGGAGUACUGCAGGGGAGACUGGAAUUCCUGGUGUAGCGGUGGAAUGCGCAGAUAUCAGGAGGAACACCCGGGGCGAAGGCGGCUCUCUGGCCUGCAACUGACGCGGAGGCGCGAAAGCGUGGGGAGCGAACGGG
rnacentral:rRNA from 1 species